rnacentral:rRNA from 1 species
UACGAAGGGGGCUAGCGUUGCUUGGAAUCACUGGGCGUAAAGCGCACGUAGGCGGCUUUUUAAGUCAGGGGUGAAAUCCUGGAGCUCAACUCCAGAACUGCCUUUGAUACUGAGAGGCUUGAGUCCGGGAGAGGUGAGUGGAACUGCGAGUGUAGAGGUGAAAUUCGUAGAUAUUCGCAAGAACACCAGUGGCGAAGGCGGCUCACUGGCCCGGUACUGACGCUGAGGUGCGAAAGCGUGGGGAGCAUCGGG